rnacentral:snRNA from 1 species
CAGUAUGAAGACAAACUGGCUGCAUUAUCAGUCUCCCCAUUAUUUGCCUGGGUUUAUUUCACUCCUCUGAUUUGCUAGGCUUGUUUCUUGUUCUUAUCUCACUGCUUUAUGUGCAUCCUUCCUGAACAGUGCUCUGUGGAAGAGAAUGACCUUUUGAAAUAGAGAAAGCCAUUCCUCAUUUAAGGGCAAACUCUCAGCUGCACUUCCUUGCUAGAAUCUCCAAACUCUUAAUGUGCAUGAAGAGCCACAUUUUUAAAAAAUUUAAAUGUUU